GAUGAACGCUGGCGGCGUGCCUAACACAUGCAAGUCGAACGGUAACAGGCACUGUAGCAAUACAGUGUGCUGACGAGUGGCGGACGGGUGCAAAACGCGUAAACAAUCUACCCUAGAGACGGGGAUAACCUUGAGAAAUCAGGGCUAAUACCCGAUACGUUCCCGAGAUCUCCUGAUCUUGGGAGGAAAUCCCGCAAGGGGCCCUUGGAUGAGUUUGCGUCUGAUUAGCUAGUUGGCGGGGUAAUGGCCCACCAAGGCGAUGAUCAGUAGCUGGUCUGAGAGGACGGACAGCCACACUGGGACUGAGAUACGGCCCAGACUCCUACGGGAGGCAGCAGUGGGGAAUAUUGCUCAAUGGGCGAAAGCCUGAAGCAGCGACGCCGCGUGAACGAAGAAGUCCUUAGGGAUGUAAAGUUCUUUCGUCGGGGACAAUUAUGAUGGUACCCGAAUAAGAAGGCCCGGCUAACUAUGUGCCAGCAGCCGCGGUAAUACAUAGGGGCCAAGCGUUAUCCGGAUUUAUUGGGCGUAAAGCGCGUGUAGGUGGUCGGUUAAGUCGGGUGUUAAAUUUGGAAGCUCAACUUCCAUACGCGCCCGAAACUGAUCGGCUUUGAGGUCGGGAGAGGAAAGCGGAACUCACAGUGUAGCGGUGAAAUGCGUAGAUAUUGUGAGGAACACCAGUGGCGAAGGCGGCUUUCUGGCUCGUACCUGACGCUAAAGCGCGAAAGCAUGGGGAGCAAACAGGAUUAGAUACCCUGGUAGUCCAUGCUGUAAACGAUGUUCAUUAGGUGUAGGGGGUAUCGACCCCCUCUGUGCCGUAGCUAACGCGUUAAAUGAACCGCCUGGGGAAUACGAUCGCAAGAUUAAAACUCAAAGAAAUUGACGGGGGCCCGCACAAGCAGUGGAUCAUGUGGUUUAAUUCGACGAUACACGAAAAACCUUACCUGAGCUUGACAUCUGCCUGAUCCCCAUGGAAGCAUGGGGUGACCCGCAAGGGAGGGCAAGACAGGUGGUGCAUGGCUGUCGUCAGCUCGUGUUGUGAAAUGUUGGGUUAAGUCCCGCAACGAGCGCAACCCCUAUUCUGUGUUAUCAGCGGUUCGGCCGGAUACUCACGGGAGACUGCCUGUGGAAAACAGGAGGAAGGCGGGGAUGACGUCAAGUCCUCAUGCCCCUUAUGUUCAGGGCUACACACAUGAUACAAUGGAUAAGACAAUGGGUUGCCAAACCGCAAGGUGGAGCCAAUCCCACAAAAUUAUCCUCAAUUCGGAUUGAAGGCUGCAACUCGCCUUCAUGAAGCUGGAAUUGCUAGUAAACGCGGAUCAGCAUGCCGCGUUGAAUACGUUCCCGGGCCUUGUACACACCGCCCGUCACACCAUGAGAGCUGGAAAUACCCAAAGCC
rnacentral:rRNA from 1 species